UUCAUCAGGUGUCGCCAUGAGCAACAGGUUCCUCUGCUAUGUUGUACUUUGUCUCAUCAGAGUAGACCUCAAGGAUGCUGUAGUCACACAAUUCCCAAGACAUAAGAUCUUGGGGACAGGAAAGAAAUUAAUCCUCCAGUGUACACAGGAUAUGAAUCAUGUGUCAAUGUACUGGUAUCGCCAAGACCCUGGAUCUGGCCUGCAGCUGAUCUACUAUUCAGCCGGUACCAAAGCCUUUGAAAAAGGAGAUGUCCCUGACGGGUACCAUGUCUCUCGAGAUGAUUUGUCACAUUUUCCCCUGACCCUGGACCACGCCAGCACCAAACAGACAUCUGUGUAUUUCUGCGCAAGCAGUUUAUCCACAGUGCUACACAACCACAUCCUCUCUACACAAGAAGGAGGCAAACCAAGGAGAAAAGUCCACUAG